UACGAAGGGGGCUAGCGUUGCUCGGAAUCACUGGGCGUAAAGCGCACGUAGGCGGACUCUUAAGUCGGUGGUGAAAUCCUGGAGCUCAACUCCAGAACUGCCUUCGAUACUGAGAGUCUCGAGUCCGAGAGAGGUGAGUGGAGCUGCGAGUGUAGAGGUGAAAUUCGUAGAUAUUCGCAAGAACACCAGUGGCGAAGGCGGCUCACUGGCUCGGUACUGACGCUGAGGUGCGAAAGCGUGGGGAGCAAACAGG
rnacentral:rRNA from 1 species